AGCCGCCGCGGUAACACCGGCGGCCCGAGUGGUGAUCGUGAUUAUGGGUUCUAAAGGGUCCGUAGCCGGUUGGUCAGUCCUCCGGGAAAUCUGAUAGCUCAACUAUUAGGCUUUCGGGGGAUACUGCCAGACUUGGAACCGGGAGAGGUAAGAGGUACUACAGGGGUAGGAGUGAAAUCUUGUAAUCCCUGUGGGACCACCUGUGGCGAAGGCGUCUUACCAGAACGGGUUCGACGGUGAGGGACGAAAGCUGGGGGCACGAACCGGAUUAGAUACCCGGGUAGUCCCAGCCGUAAACGAUGCUCGCUAGGUGUCAGGCAUGGCGCGACCGUGUCUGGUGCCGCAGGGAAGCCGUGAAGCGAGCCACCUGGGAAGUACGGCCGCAAGGCUGAAACUUAAAGGAAUUGGCGGGGGAGCACAACAACGGGUGGAAGCCUGCGGUUUAAUUGGACUCAACGCCGGACAACUCACCGGGGGCGACAGCAAUAUGUAGGCCAAGCUGAAGACUUUGCCUGAAUCGCUGAGGGGAGGUGCAUGG
rnacentral:rRNA from 1 species